UACGUAGGGGGCAAGCGUUAUUCGGAAUUAUUGGGCGUAAAGGGCGCGUAGGCGGCUUUUCAAGUGACGGGUGAAAUCCCUCGGCUUAACCGAGGAACUGCCUGUCAGACUGGAAGGCUUGAGACCGGGAGAGGUGAGUGGAAUUCCCAGUGUAGCGGUGAAAUGCGUAGAUAUUGGGAGGAACACCAGUGGCGAAGGCGGCUCACUGGACCGGAACUGACGCUGAGGCGCGAAAGCGUGGGGAGCGAACCGG
rnacentral:rRNA from 1 species